GACAGAGGUGCCGAGCGUUAGGCGGAAUCACUGGGCUUAAAGCGCGUGUAGGCGGUCCGGUAAGUCCGCUGUGAAAGUCGGGGGCUUAACCCUCGGAUGCCGGUGGAUACUGUCGGGCUUGAGUACGGAAGAGGCGAGUGGAAUUCCUGGUGUAGCGGUGAAAUGCGCAGAUAUCAGGAGGAACACCAAUUGCGAAGGCAGCUCGCUGGGACGUUACUGACGCUGAGACGCGAAAGCGUGGGGAGCAAACAGG
rnacentral:rRNA from 1 species